UACGUAGGGGGCAAGCGUUGUCCGGAAUUAUUGGGCGUAAAGAGCGUGUAGGCGGUCCGGUAAGUCAGCUGUGAAAGUCAAGGGCUCAACCCUUGAAUGCCGGUUGAUACUGUCGGGCUAGAGUCCGGAAGAGGCGAGUGGAAUUCCUGGUGUAGCGGUGAAAUGCGCAGAUAUCAGGAGGAACACCAAUGGCGAAGGCAGCUCUCUGGGACGGUACUGACGCUGAGACGCGAAAGCGUGGGGAGCGAACAGG
rnacentral:rRNA from 1 species